GCGCCCCCUGGUGGGCGCGGCGGCAACACACACAAAGGACCCGCCCCCAGCCUCGCGCCGCCGCCGCCGCUCCAGCCCAACAUGGCGAUGCACAACAAGGCGGCCCCGCCGCAGAUCCCCGACACCCGGCGGGAGCUGGCGGAGCUCGUGAAGCGGAAGCAGGAGCUGGCGGUGAGGGGCUGGGGCGGCGCGUCCGCCGCACUGGCCGUCCGCUCCUCCGGGGAAGAGCUCGGCGGCGGGGCCCGGGAGACACUGGCAAACUUGGAGAGACAGAUCUAUGCUUUUGAAGGAAGCUACCUAGAAGACACUCAGAUGUAUGGCAAUAUUAUUCGUGGCUGGGAUCGGUAUCUGACCAACCAAAAAAAUUCCAAUAGCAAAAAUGACCGAAGGAACCGGAAGUUUAAGGAAGCUGAGCGGCUCUUCAGUAAAUCUUCAGUUACAUCGGCAGCUGCAGUAAGUGCAUUGGCAGGAGUUCAGGACCAGCUCAUUGAAAAGAGGGAACCAGGAAGUGGGACGGAAAGUGAUACUUCUCCGGACUUCCACAAUCAGGAAAAUGAGCCCAGCCAGGAGGACCCUGAGGAUCUGGAUGGAUCUGUUCAGGGAGUGAAACCUCAGAAGGCUGCUUCUUCCACUUCCUCAGGGAGUCAUCAUAGCAGCCAUAAAAAACGAAAGAAUAAAAACCGGCACAGUGAAAGUACUAUGCUGAGUUAUACGUACCUUUCAUUGUGUAUAUAUUAGGUUAGGCUGGGAAGUUUUUUUUAAAAACAGAAAAACAUGAUGGAGGAUUGAUCUGAAGUUAAACAAAAAACCACGAGCUGACUAUUAGAAGACUCAUUAGUACAGAAGCGUCCAGGCUGUAGAGCCCUGCUUCCCUUCUCCGACCUCACACAGAUAAACAUCCCUCAUCUGAGUGCGUGGCUGCCCACCUCUGCUCUCCCAGACCCAGUGCCUGUGACUGAGUAGUUUGUUCUAAAUGUGGUGACAAGUCACUUCUGUAAGACAUCGUUUGCUUUGUGUCUUUCUUAGAAGCAGAACUGCAGGGAGACCAAGGCGUGGUGGUAAUCCCCACAUGUUGCUCUCCGUGCAUUUCUCCCUUAGAAUGAAUGUCUCCCCCAAACUGGCCAGCCCCAGCUACAUUUGUGACCCCACUGAGGUGCGUUCUCGGGUUUUGUAUUAUGCUGAACGUAGACCACAAGCCACAUUUCUGAUGUAGGCUGUAAAUAUCUGGCAUUUCUCCUACUUUAUUUUGUGUUUUAUUAUUUUCCUAUUGUUGCUUUUACCACCUUAUUUUCUUCCUGGGACUUUUUAUAAUGCCUUUGUACAGCUCAUCCCUUCCUGCUGAUAGUAUCUUCCAUAUCUGAUGAUGUUUCAUGCAGUUGCCAAUAUUCUUAACUGAAAAUAAUGUGGUUUACUAUAAGUAAAAUGGGAAACUUGGCUCAGUGGUUUUUUGCAGGGGGAAGGUAGAGUGUUUAUUUAAUAAUUACCUAUCUCAAAUCUCUGAGUUGGAAGCAGUUUUUUGUUCAAGGAACAGGAGAAGCUGAAAACCAUAAGUUUAAAUCAGUCCUUUUAAAAUAGAUACUUUUAUUCUUUUGUAAAAAUAAAAUUCAUAGGUUUUGACUUCUCAUGCUUUACUUUUAAACCUGAGAUUGUUUUUUCACUUAUUCUUUUUAUUCAUAUCAUACCUUAUGGAAAUUUCCUUCUUUUUCCAUCUUUUUGUUGGUAUUCACCUGAUUAAAUAUUGCUCCAGAAGUCACCAGGGCAACAGUAAGGCUAAAAAUUACAUCAAGCUGGGUAUGGUGGCACACACCUGUAUUGCCAGCAUUUGGAAGGCUGAGGCAGGAAGAUCACUGAGUUUGAGGCCAGCAUGGGCUACAUAGUGAGUUGAAGGCCAGCUUAAGUUACAUAGAGAGAACCUGUCUCCUAAAAAAAAAGAAAGAAAAGAAAAGGACACCAAAAACAGAAGAGAAAAUGUUCUUGAAUGAAGUGAAAGAGUGUGAGAGGGGCCAGGGAUUUAGCUCAGUGGCACCGCGCCUCACAAGUGCAAGGUCCUGAAUUUGAUCCCUGGGUACCAAAAAAAAAGUGUGAGAGCCAGCACUCCCCAAAGGAACUUCCUUCCUUGUGGAGUCAGUGGGCUGAAGAACAUGCUGAUGAUUGUUACCUAAUGCCUUGAUCACCUAUCUUGACUGAAAAAUUCCAGUCACUUGGGAAGCCUAAAAAUGCUGGUGAGUGCCACCCCCAGAGACUCUAGGGUACAGCCUACUUAUUGGGGUUUCCUUCCAAAGAGUCCCUAAGAGGCUGAUAAACCAAGUUGAGAAUCACUGCAUUGGAGACUGAUUUGAUUUAAAUCCCUUGCUGUGAGUCAGUGUUAGGGAUAAGGUUUGGGGCCUCAUCUUUUGAAGUGAGUUUAGCCUUAGUCCUUUACACCCAUCCAUGGCUUUGUAAGAAGUAUGUCCAUUGUGAUGAUGUUCAUAGAGCCGAAUACUAAUGGAUUCUGUUAGCAGGAAAAGUCCACCUUGUCAGAUGUGCAACAGCUUUCACUCUUGUUCACAAAAAAACUUCUUUUUUUUAAACUGACAGUUUUAGAUGGCUUCGGCUUUGGUAGCAGAACUCUUUUUUUUUUUCUUUUUCCUUUUCUUUUCUUUCCAGUACUGGGUAUUGAGCUUAGGACCUUGCACUUGUGAGGCAGGUACUGUGCUACUGAGCUACAUCCCCACCCUGGUAGUAGAACUCUUAAUGUCAGGGUUUUUAAGGAAAUAGUUUCUUCUGUGUAGAGUGUUUCUUUAUUUUAUUUUAUUAUUUAUUUAUUUAUUUAUUUAUUAUUGAUUGAUUGAUACUGGGGAUCGAACUCAGGACCUUGCACCGGAACCACUGAGCUAAAUCCACAGCCCUAGAGUGUUUCUUUAAAGAAAAGCAUACAAACCCUAGAAGCUUUCUAUAUUCUUCGUCAGUUUGUCCCCUUUUCUGGGAGGAAGAAGUAGGAUUCUGGGCUUUCCUUGACUCAGAAAAGCACACAACAGACCUUAAAAUCCCUCUGCCUCUCAGGGCCGGGGAUUUAGCUCAGUGGUUCCGGCUCCUGCUUCAUAAGUGCAAGGACCCAAGUUCAAUCCCCGGUACCAAAAAAAAUCCCUCUGCCUCUCAUAGUUUGGCAUUUGCUACAGAUACAUUUGUACUCUAUUAACAGGUGUGUUAUUUCUGGGCAUGGUGGCACAUGCCUGUGGUCCCAGCGUGAAGGAGGCUGAGGCAGGAUUACAAAUUCAAGGCCAGCCUAGACUACAUAGUGAGGCCUUGUCUCAAAACAAAAUAGGUGUUUUAUUUAUUAUUGCAGUGCUCAGUAUCAAACCCAGGCCUUCAUCGUUAGCUAGACAGGUACUCCACUGCUUAGCUGUACCCUCAGCCUCUAAAGGUAUAUUAUUCAUAAGCAUAUCUUCCAUGUGUGAAAUCAUAGAGACAGGCUACUUGGUUUUUACUUACUUUCCCUAUAAAAUGUAACCAUUGAUUAGGAGAUCUUGCAGUUUCCCUAUUAGUUGUAUAAGUUGGCUGGGGAUCCUGGAGGCAGUCAAAUCUUUGGGUGGGUAGGACUAGGGAUUGAACCCAGGUAGCCACAUAGCCCUUUUAAAAUUUUGAGACAGGGUCUCACUAAGUUGCUAAAUUGCCUAGUUUGGGCUUGAAUUUGCAGUCCUGCCUCAGCCUCCCAGAGUGCUGGGAUUACAACCUUGUACCUUCCUGCCUGGAAGUAGUCAAGUUGUGAGAUAUUGCUUAAUUUCCCUACAUUAGGGUCCUUUAGAAAAAUGCGCCAGUGGUUCCCUGCCUGCCAUAUACCAUGCUUGUGACACUGAACUUUUGAUUAUCAAGUAAAUUUACCUGACUUAAGAUUGGGAUGAGGUGAUAACCUUGAUCAAGUUAUUGAUUUUAAAAAAGGUGCUACCCAGUUCUAGUAGUGUACACACCUGUAAUCCCAGCACUUAGGAAAUAGAGACAGGAAGAUUCCUAGUCCAGAGGCAGCCUGGACAACUUAGACUCUGUCUCAAAGGAAGGAAGGAAGUGGGGAGAAAAUGAGGGAGGAAAGGCUAUAUGGACAGAGGACUUGGUAGAGUUAGCCCGCUGGGUGGCCUGUAUCCCCUCUUGCCGUGCUAGCAAUUCCUGAGCUAGAAUCGCCACCAGCACCCCUGAGAAGGUGCUUGCUUCCGGGCCUGUCAUCACUGGAUCACUUGGGUUUGCAGCAGUACUUUGUUGCAUGUUAUAGAGACAGAAAAUGAAUUGGUUUCAAGAACUAGUCACACAAAGAGAUUGACUCCUGGGAUAUGGGCCUUCUUCCCUUCUAAUCCAGAGGGACAGAGGAGAAGAGAACUGAGGGACCCAAAUUUGUUCAUUUCUGUCGUCUAGAGAUAUUUGCUGUUCUGUACUUUAUCUUCUCCAAUCUUGGGACUAGGUUGUCCUUUGCUCUUUUUGAUAGUUAUGAGAGAUCAGGAAGAAGAAGCCCCCCCCCCCCCGCCCCUUUUGGUACCAGGGAUUGAACUCACGACCUUGUGCUUACAAGGCAGGCGCAGUACCACUGAGCUAAAUCAGCCCCUUUCUAGUAACAUUCUUUGUCCUAUACUGGGAAGAUAAUGUCAGUAAAAAGCUUCAUGGGGUCUUGUGUGGAUUCUUCCAAGUACUGAGGAUGUACUUUCUUUUUAGAUGCAGAAUGUUCUAAACACCAUCACACUCUACAAGUCAAAGGUGGAGAGUGAGGGGGAACAACCCACAGAGUAGAUUGGGAGUCAUCUGAGCCUAGGGGAGG